UUCUUAUCAAGAGCAGGCGGAGGGACGAGCCCGAUGAAGCCCGGCAACCGAUCCAGCAUACUAUGCUGGGCACGGUGCUAAUUCUUGCAGCGAAAGCUGAAAGAUGAGAA
rnacentral:ncRNA from 2 species